rnacentral:rRNA from 1 species
AACGAACGCUGGCGGCAUGCCUAACACAUGCAAGUCGAACGAGACCUUCCGGCCUAGUGGCGCACGGGUGCGUAACGCGUGGGGACCUGCCUUUAGGUUCGGAAUACCUCAGAUAAAUUUGAGCUAAUACCGGAUGAUCUCUUCGCACCAAAGAUUUAUGGCCUUUGGAUGGGCGCGCGUUAGUUUCGCUAGUUGGUGGGGUACAGGCCUACCAAGGCGACGAUGCAUAGCUGGUCUGUGAGGAUGAUAAGCCACGCUGGGACUGAGGCACGGCCCACACUGCUACGGGAGGGAGGAGAAGGGAAUAUUGGGCGAUGGGCGAAAGCCUGAUCCAGCAAUGCCGCGUGAGUGAUGCAGGCGUUAGGGUUGUAAAGCUCUUUUACCCGAGAUGAUAAUGACAGUAUCGGGAGAAUAAGCACCGGCUAACUCCGUG